AUUGUGGUGGUUCAGUGGUAGAAUUCUCGCCUUCCAAGUGGGAGACCAGGGUUGGAUUCCCAGCUAAUG
rnacentral:tRNA from 1 species